rnacentral:rRNA from 1 species
AUUGAACGCUGGCGGCAGGCCUAACACAUGCGAGUCGAGCGGAUGAAGGGAGCUUGCUCCUGGAUUCAGCGGCGGACGGGUGAGUAAUGCCUAGGAAUCUGCCUGGUAGUGGGGGAUAACGUCCGGAAACGGGCGCUAAUACCGCAUACGUCCUGAGGGAGAAAGUGGGGGAUCUUCGGACCUCACGCUAUCAGAUGAGCCUAGGUCGGAUUAGCUAGUUGGUGGGGUAAAGGCCCACCAAGGCGACGAUCCGUAACUGGUCUGAGAGGAUGAUCAGUCACACUGGAACUGAGACACGGUCCAGACUCCUACGGGAGGCAGCAGUGGGGAAUAUUGGACAAUGGGCGAAAGCCUGAUCCAGCCAUGCCGCGUGUGUGAAGAAGGUCUUCGGAUUGUAAAGCACUUUAAGUUGGGAGGAAGGGCAGUAAGUUAAUACCUUGCUGUUUUGACGUUACCAACAGAAUAAGCACCGGCUAACUUCGUG